GUCCCUAUAGUGUAAUGGAUAGCACGUUGGACUCCUAAUCCAAAGGUCGUGGGUUCGAAUCCUACUUGGAAUG